rnacentral:lncRNA from 1 species
CGAUGGGAUGCUGCCAUUUUGGAGAGGUCUCAGCCAGUGAUGAAGAGUGGUCACAUGUAGGGAAAGUUUGGUGUGAUGAUUAUGGCAACUAGGACCAGUGCUGAAGCUAUCACCUCUCCUACUGCCAGCAUUGUGCAAUGGUGUGCAAUGGUAUCAUCAGCCCACAAGACAGAAUGAUGAAGAAGACUAAAGUGUGAGGAAGAUGUAGUUGGAAUCCAUUUUCCUGAAGACUGUCUUUAAGAUGAUUUCAUUCUCAUUUAUAAAAGAAUUUAAAGGAAGAACUUGCAAUGCCAGCUUUGGAUUUGGGAAACUGGAUCUAAAAGUGUGUGCGUGCGAGGUGCCACCUGCAUUGCGCCUUGGCCGACUGCUGAUUGUUCGCCACGAUCUGGCACUAAUCCCAAGGAUUAAGUGAGCAUCUGCUCCCCAGUGCUAACAGCCGGAUGGAGCCAAGCCAUCUACAGAAUGAAUCAGUCUUCUCAAGCUAUGUGCCUGAAGGCUUAAACUCCGGGGAAAGUCAUCAGGGAUGUCCUUAACAGGCCACUGUCUGGAAGUAGAAAAAUACCAUAACUUUGUGGUGUGAUCAAAGUACAGUAAUGACGAUGAAGCAGAAGCCCUGAGUUCCUUAAGAGUAGAUGUCCUCCUUUUUAUUGCCUUCAUAGGGCUUAUGGGACUACUCCCGAAGCCCCUUCCUGAUGUAGAGCCAUCUGGGG